UAUUGGUCAAUGGACGAGAGUCUGAAGCAGCCAAGUAGCGUGAAGGCUGACUGCCCUAUGGGUUGUAAACUUCUUUUAUAUGGGAAUAAAACAGGGUAUGCAUACCAUCUUGUAUGUACCGUACGAAUAAUCAUCGGCUCCCUCCGUGCCAGCAGCCGCGGUAAUACGGGGGAUGCAAGCGUUAUCCGGAUUUAUUGGGUUUAAAGGGUGCGUAGGCUGUGAGGUAAGUCAGCGGUGAAAUGCCCCCGCUCAACGGGGUGAAGUGCCAUUGAUACUGCCUUGCUGGAAUGCGGAUGCCGUGGGAGGAAUGUGUGGUGUAGCGGUGAAAUGCAUAGAUAUCACACAGAACACCGAUUGCGAAGGCAUCUCACGAAUCCGCGAUUGACGCUGAUGCACGAAAGCGUGGGUAUCAAAC
rnacentral:rRNA from 1 species